rnacentral:lncRNA from 1 species
ACCUAUCAGCGGGUGCAGGUGCGGGGCGGGUGCGCGCGAGGAGUUGGGCCGGUUCGGCCCAAUUCGGCCAGGCCGGUCCUUUUGCUCCUUUUUUUUUCUUUUACCCUUUUCUUUGUUCUGUUUUUCUUAUUCCUAUGAUAUCUUUUGAUUUCGAACUCCAAUUUGGUCCAAACAAAAUCCAGAAAAUUUGAAAAAUCAUGUCCUACCAUGAUACAACUUUUGGGAGUAGUUUCUCUUCAAAAUAAACUACAUAAAAAUACAUUUUCCCUAUAAAUGCCUUUAGGGCCAUAUAUCUAUUUAAAGAAAAUACAUUUUCAACUCCAAUGAUUAUCCAAAAAUUAUGGGAUAGCUUAUAUAUGCAUUAAACCCCUUUUAUACACAAAACCUAUUGGUUUGAAGAUCCAAAGUUCAAAUGGGUGUAAACCCUAAGGUUCAAGUUGAAAUAAAACUUUUAAAGCCUUUUGAGAUUCAAAUUUGAAUGCAAACAUGCAAUUGUGGCAUGAUGCUCAUGGGUGCA